rnacentral:hammerhead_ribozyme from 1 species
GUUCUGUUGAAGAGUCCCAAACUAGGACGAAACAGCUGUCCAGUAC